AUGGAGUUUCAGACCCAGGUACUCAUGUCCCUGCUGCUCUGCAUGUCUGGUGCCUGUGCAGACAUUGUGAUGACUCAGUCUCCAACUUUCCUUGCUGUGACAGCAAGUAAGAAGGUCACCAUUAGUUGCACGGCCAGUGAGAGCCUUUAUUCAAGCAAACACAAGGUGCACUACUUGGCUUGGUACCAGAAGAAACCAGAGCAAUCUCCUAAACUGCUGAUAUACGGGGCAUCCAACCGAUACAUUGGGGUCCCUGAUCGCUUCACAGGCAGUGGAUCUGGGACAGAUUUCACUCUGACCAUCAGCAGUGUACAGGUUGAAGACCUCACACAUUAUUACUGUGCACAGUUUUACAGCUAUCCUCU